ACUCUGAGACAGGUGCUGCAUGGCUGUCGUCAGCUCGUGUUGUGAAAUGUUGGGUUAAGUCCCGCAACGAGCGCAACCCUUAUCCUUUGUUGCCAGCGGUUCGGCCGGGAACUCAAAGGAGACUGCCAGUGAUAAACUGGAGGAAGGUGGGGAUGACGUCAAGUCAUCAUGGCCCUUACGAGUAGGGCUACACACGUGCUACAAUGGCGUAUACAAAGAGAAGCGACCUCGCGAGAGCAAGCGGACCUCAUAAAGUACGUCGUAGUCCGGAUUGGAGUCUGCAACUCGACUCCAUGAAGUCGGAAUCGCUAGUAAUCGUAGAUCAGAAUGCUACGGUGAAUACGUUCCCGGGU
rnacentral:rRNA from 1 species